GGUUGUAGCUCAGUGGCAGAGCGCUUGCCUCACAUGUGUGAGACCCUGGGUUCAAUCCUCAGCAUCA
rnacentral:tRNA from 1 species